rnacentral:lncRNA from 1 species
CUUCCCGGCUCUCUGUUUUUACCAGAUAUGUCCAAGCAUCUGGGAUUUCCAUUGCUGCUCUCUCAUUUAAUACUGGGUUAUGCUUUUGGCUUUUACUGUCUCCAAUCCUUUUGAUAGUGGGGCUUGCAAUUUCUUCACUGUUGGCUUCACAAUUUUUGCCUCUUCCCGUUUUAUGUUCGUCCCAUCCGCAUGUGCAGCCUUUGCUGGGGCAGUGGUCAUGGCUCCUAUGGUUGUGUCCCUCUUGUGCUCUGUGGUUCUCUGCUGUGGUGUCCUGGUGGUGACACCUAUGUGGGAUGAACUCUGUCAUGAGUUCUCGGGUUCAACUGGGAUUUUGUGAGCUCCCGACUUCUGCCUCUCGUUUCUCUUAUGCUUCUCAUUCCUUGCUCUAUUGGGAACCGUUGGCGCC